CGGUCGCUGCCUGGUUUGUUAGGACGCGCAUAUCUCUGGGGCUAUACUCCAUUAUCCUUGGGAGCUACCUCUGCCGAGAUCGUGGUCUUGGUACGCGGCGCCCACCUGCACGAGCAGGCACCAGAGGAUGGCAUGGGAGCCGACGGCUAAGGUGGCACCGUU
rnacentral:other from 2 species